UACAGAGGGGGCAAGCGUUAUUCGGAAUUAUUGGGCGUAAAGGGCGCGUAGGCGGCUUUGCAAGUGACGGGUGAAAGCCCUCGGCUUAACCGAGGAACUGCCUGUCAGACUGUGAGGCUUGAGACCGGGAGAGGUGAGUGGAAUUCCCAGUGUAGCGGUGAAAUGCGUAGAUAUUCGCAAGAACACCAGUGGCGAAGGCGGCUCACUGGCCCAUAACUGACGCUGAGGCACGAAAGCGUGGGGAGCAAACAGG
rnacentral:rRNA from 1 species